rnacentral:rRNA from 1 species
AUGAACGCUGGCGGCGUGCUUAACACAUGCAAGUCGAACGGAAAGGCUCCUGCUUGCAGGGGUACUCGAGUGGCGAACGGGUGAGUAACACGUGGGUGAUCUGCCCUGCACUUCGGGAUAAGCCUGGGAAACUGGGUCUAAUACCGGAUAGGACGAUGGUUUGGAUGCCAUUGUGGAAAGUUUUUCGGUGUGGGAUGAGCUCGCGGCCUAUCAGCUUGUUGGUGGGGUAAUGGCUUACCAAGGCGUCGACGGGUAGCCGGCCUGAGAGGGUGUACGGCCACAUUGGGACUGAGAUACGGCCCAGACUCCUACGGGAGGCAGCAGUGGGGAAUAUUGCACAAUGGGCGCAAGCCUGAUGCAGCGACGCCGCGUGGGGGAUGACGGCCUUCGGGUUGUAAACUCCUUUCGCUAGGGACGAAGCGCAAGUGACGGUACCUGGAGAAGAAGCACCGGCUAACUACGUG